rnacentral:rRNA from 1 species
GGAUGUGAUCGUACCAGCACUAAAGCACCGGAUCCCAUCAGAACUCCGAAGUUAAGCGUGCUUGGGCAAGAGUAGUACUAGGAUGGGUGACCUCCUGGGAAGUCCUCGUGUUGCAUUCC